rnacentral:rRNA from 1 species
AGAGUUUGAUUCUGGCUCAGAUUGAACGCUGGCGGCGUGCUUAACACAUGCAAGUCGAACGUGAAAGUCCUUCGGGGCGAGUAAAGUGGCGCACGGGUGAGUAACGCGUGGAUAAUCUACCCUUAAGAUGGGGAUAACGGCUGGAAACGGUCGCUAAUACCGAAUACGCUCCCGAUUUUAUCGUUGGGGGGAAAGAUGGCCUCUGCUUGCAAGCUAUCGCUUAAGGAUGAGUCCGCGUCCCAUUAGCUAGUUGGCGGGGUAACGGCCCACCAAGGCGACGAUGGGUAGCCGGUCUGAGAGGAUGACCGGCCACACUGGAACUGGAACACGGUCCAGACUCCUACGGGAGGCAGCAGUGGGGAAUAUUGCGCAAUGGGCGAAAGCCUGACGCAGCGACGCCGCGUGAGGGAUGAAGGUUCUCGGAUCGUAAACCUCUGUCAGGGGGGAAGAAACCCCCUCGUGUGAAUAAUGCGAGGGCUUGACGGUACCCCCAAAGGAAGCACCGGCUAACUCCGUGCCAGCAGCCGCGGUAAUACGGAGGGUGCAAGCGUUAAUCGGAAUCACUGGGCGUAAAGCGCACGUAGGCGGCUUGGUAAGUCAGGGGUGAAAUCCCACAGCCCAACUGUGGAACUGCCUUUGAUACUGCCAGGCUUGAGUACCGGAGAGGGUGGCGGAAUUCCAGGUGUAGGAGUGAAAUCCGUAGAUAUCUGGAGGAACACCGGUGGCGAAGGCGGCCACCUGGACGGUAACUGACGCUGAGGUGCGAAAGCGUGGGUAGCAAACAGGAUUAGAUACCCUGGUAGUCCACGCUGUAAACGAUGGGUGCUGGGUGCUGGGAUGUAUGUCUCGGUGCCGUAGCUAACGCGAUAAGCACCCCGCCUGGGGAGUACGGUCGCAAGGCUGAAACUCAAAGAAAUUGACGGGGGCCCGCACAAGCGGUGGAGUAUGUGGUUUAAUUCGAUGCAACGCGAAGAACCUUACCCAGGCUUGACAUCUAGGGAACCCUUCGGAAAUGAAGGGGUGCCCUUCGGGGAGCCCUAAGACAGGUGCUGCAUGGCUGCCACAGUUACGGACAUCUGUUGUACAUGCCUUGGGAAGACC